GUUUUUUUUAAGCAUACACAUUGGAGGAUAAUGAAAGUAUUGUUUUUUGUUGGUAAAUGAUGGCACAAUUGGCAGGGCAAUUUUUGCCCUUCUGUGUACAUCAAAAACAGAUUAUGCAUAUAAAGGGUAAAAAAGUGUUUGUAAUUUUACUACAAAGAAAAAUAAUUUUACUUCUUUCGAAAUGUCAUGAUGCAGGCAUUCCUCAGGAUUUAGCCGAACGCAUACAGCUCUUCCUGGCCCAAGAGAGGAGAAAUGCGAUUCUGUUUUGUUUUGCUGAUUGUUAAUGGACAGGCACUGAUCCGUUUCUGAGGGGCCCUUUGAAUGUGCUCAGUCUUUGUGCAGCGCGCACAAUGCAUGAGAUUUUACAUGGCUGAAUGGAUUGUAAACUCUGUCACUUCAGGGUAUCACCCACUUAAACAACAUCCUCAUCAUUUUUCUUAAGAAAUGAUCUGAGACAAAAUAUUGAAUUAUUUAGCGUACUGCUGGGAGAGGGAAUUGAUUUCUUGCUGUAUCAGAGAGAAAUAGCUGCUCUUUUGAGGUUUCCAAAGCCUAGAGAAGUCAAUGAGGAUCUUUCCAUUGAUUUCAAUAGGCUUUAGAUCAUGCUCUUAUUCGCUCAACUAUUUCUCUUUAGUUAGAACAAAACAAUGCAUCUGUUCCUUAAAAGAUACACAGUUUGCUGUUUAUAAAAGAGAAAUAUAUUCUGCCCCAUUCUCCUGAAUAUAAAAUCGGUUAUGACCAUUGAAAUAAGUAGCAAAUAGCUUUUUAAUAUCAUUGAAAGUUAGAUUAAGCCCCUAUGCAUUUGAAAUUCUUAAUGUAUGCAGCUAUGUGCGUUUUAAACUCAAUAUGUGAACAUGUGGUACUCUCUCCUUUAUUUGCAAAUAGUUCUUGUUUGCGUUAAAAAAAAAAAAAAAGCAUUUUCAUUUUUUCUCUUUCUAGGCUUUCAGAUGUGUUUCAUCCUCUUUGUUGUGAAAAGACAGCCGUAUAACACAUUUUCAGUAGUUACCAUUACCUAUUCUGUUCCUGUGAAUGUCAAGAUGCAGCACGUGUGUUGGACAGCACUGAAGUUUCCCGUUAUGAUGUUCAGUCUUAAAGCAGUAGCCAGACGAGAUGUGCCAGGAAAAAAUGUUGGAGUCACCAUUAACUCAAUCACAAGAAGAGCAGGUGAGUUAUCUGGUGUCACUCAAUGUGUCAAAACCAGCAGGGAGAAGAGAAACAAGUUGUCUUGAACCUGUGCUCCAUUCAUUAGUCCCCACUGCCUGACAUGCAGGCUGUUAACAAAGCAGCA
rnacentral:lncRNA from 1 species